AUUGAACGCUGGCGGCAUGCCUUACACAUGCAAGUCGAACGGUAACGGGCCUUCGGGUGCCGACGAGUGGCAAACGGGGGAGUAGUACAUCGGAACGUGCCCGAUCGUGGGGGAUAACGAGGCGAAAGCUUUGCUAAUACCGCAUACGAUCUACGGAUGAAAGCAGGGGACCGCAAGGCCUUGCGCGGACGGAGCGGCCGAUGGCAGAUUAGGUAGUUGGUGGGAGAAAAGCUUACCAAGACGACGAUCUGUAGCUGGUCUGAGAGGCUGAUCAGCCACACUGGGACUGAGACACGGCCCAGACUCCUACGGGAGGCAGCAGUGGGGAAUUUUGGACAAUGGGCGCAAGCCUGAUCCAGCCAUGCCGCGUGCAGGAUGAAGGCCUUCGGGUUGUAAACUGCUUUUGUACGGAACGAAAAGCCUUCUUUUAAUACAGGAGGGUCAUGACGGUACCGUAAGAAUAAGCACCGGCUAACUACGUG
rnacentral:rRNA from 1 species